rnacentral:rRNA from 1 species
UCCUACGGGAGGCAGCAGUGGGGAAUAUUGCACAAUGGGCGAAAGCCUGAUGCAGCAACGCCGCGUGAGUGAUGAAGGCCUUCGGGUCGUAAAGCUCUUUGAUCAGGGAUGACAAUGACAGUACCUGAAAAACAAGCCACGGCUAACUACGUGCCAGCAGCCGCGGUAAUACGUAGGUGGCGAGCGUUGUCCGGAAUUACUGGGCGUAAAGGAUGCGUAGGUGGAUAUUUAAGUGGGAUGUGAAAUCCCCGGGCUCAACCCGGGAACUGCAUUCCAAACUGGGUAUCUAGAGUGCAGGAGAGGAAAGCGGAAUUCCUAGUGUAGCGGUGAAAUGCGUAGAUAUUAGGAGGAACACCAGUGGCGAAGGCGGCUUUCUGGACUGUAACUGACACUGAGGCAUGAAAGCGUGGGUAGCAAACAGGAUUAGAUACCCUGGUAGUCCACGCCGUAAACGGUGGGUACUAGGUGUAGGAGGUAUCGACCCCUUCUGUGCCGUCGUUAACACAAUAAGUACCCCGCCUGGGGAGUACGGUCGCAAGACUAAAACUCAAAGGAAUUGACGGA